GGCAGGCAGUAAAGGUCUGGUUUUAACUUUGAGAUCCUUGAUCUUGCUUCAAGUAUCCUUUAUAUUGAUGAGAAAUAAUGAAAGGCAGGGUCUUGUUGCUUUAGGCAGACAAUUUCUAACUGAGGAGCUAUCAAGAACAUUUACGUUAUGUUAAGCAUAUCCCUUGCUUUGUUGGGUUCUUUGACUUGUCUACAGAAACGGUUGCAACAAUGCCCUCUAUCACAAGCAAUCUGAGACGAGGCUUGAAGUAGCACACCCAAAGUGGUUGGCUUAAGGGAUAUUCGAAUAUAAGAAAAGCUUAAAAUACAACAAGAAAAGCGAAGUUGUAAGGAGAACUUUGGCUGUAAUGUUUUUCUGUCUUUUUUCUUGAACACCAUUGGUUGCUGAGAGUUUUUGGGGUAAGCAAUGAUGGAAAAG